GGUUACAGCAAUUUUCGUCCAAGCACAAACCGCAAACAUUUUCGCGCGUUUGUUUACGUUUGAAACGGGGUGUUUACCGUUGGAAACGGAAAUGUUUCACUGCUCAUUCGACGUGUUAUAGUGAAAAGCCUAAUUCAAUUAUUUUUCAUGUUUUGAUGUGCUUUCGUGUACUUUUCAGUGUUUCCAAGCUCACGAUAUUGUAAGAGCGACCAAACUUGUUUAUAUUCAUACUUUUUGUGACUAGAACGUAUUAUCAUGGGCUGGAAAAUAUUGAAACGUGCACGGAGGCACAUCAAACCACGAAACAUGGUAGUUGCGCCAAAAAUAGCCUAAGGCUUGAUGCCUGCGAGGAAUGCUGGUCUUAGUAGUCAUCACGGUCCAGGAAAAUUUAGAUAGUAGCCAUUUUUAAUUGUUUAAUUUUCCUGGGCAAUGACUACUAAGAUCAGCAUUCCUCACGGGCAUGAAGUCUUGUGACAUCAUUAUGCA